UACGGGGGGUGCAAGCGUUGUUCGGAAUUACUGGGCGUAAAGGGCUCGUAGGCGGUUUACUAAGUCAGACGUGAAAUCCCUCAGCUUAACUGGGGAACUGCGUCUGAUACUGGAUGGCUUGGAUUCGGGAGAGGAAUGCGGAAUUCCAGGUGUAGCGGUGAAAUGCGUAGAUAUCUGGAGGAACACCGGUGGCGAAGGCGGCAUUCUGGCCCGAUAUUGACGCUAAGGAGCGAAAGCCAGGGGAGCAAACGGG
rnacentral:rRNA from 1 species